UCCCCCGCAUUGGGCCAUUACUUAGGAAAAGAGUUUUCCCCCAGAACAAGAGGUGGCUGCAGACAGGGAUGGGUGAACCCACAGCCGGGGUGGAUUUUCCACCAGUAUUUGGAGACUGUCCUGCAGAGACACCUGCGGCCCAACUACCAGCUGGGCAACCUGGUGGAGCUGGUGAAGCUCUUCUGCCAGGAGGAUCAAACCCCCAUCUGUGUGAUCUGCAGAGAGUCCCGGGAGCACUGUGCCCACAAGGCAGUGCCCAUCAAGGAGGCUGCCCAAGGAGAAACUCCAGGGGGCCAUGGGCCCGCUCAGGAAGCAGCUGGAGGAGGCCCGGGCGUUGACGUCUAAAGAAAAGGAGAAAACCAGGGAGUGGCAGAGGAAAGUGCAGGCAAAGCGGGAGAUGAUUGCUGCUGAAUUUAACAAGCUGCACAUGCUGCUGAGGGAGGAGGAGCAGCUGCUUCUGCAGAGGCUGGCGGAGGAGGAGAGGGAGACUCUGUAGAGGCUCCAGGAAAAUGUCACCAAACUCUCCCACCAAAGCGCCUCCCUGCAGCAGCUGAUCGCAGAGAUCAAGGGGAAGUGUCAGCAGCCAGUUGCUGAAGGUGAGACAGCGUCAAAACUCUGCACCCAGUCAGAAUCACAACUCGGAUCCAUGGGCCUGGAUCCCAAGGAUGAGAGUAAACGUGCUGAGAGACAAUACUUGGCCAAGGACUCCAUCAGUUCCAGACGGUGCAGUUUGGGUGGGCGAGGAAUCAUGGAGAUCCAAGGAGGCCCUGGGAGAUGAAAUGUUUGGUGUAAAAACAAUGCAGAGAUCCCUGCUGUGACUCCAGAACAUUGGACUCAACCAGUCGCUAAACACAGAUACGGGGGCGGGGUCCCUAGGAGAAAGAACCAUUUAACUAAAUUCCCAUCUGACCUACAAACAAUGAAUUGAGUAUAAAUGCAAAGUGGAGCAGGAGGUUUUGCCACAGAACAGUGAAGCCUAGGAUGGUGAAUCUAUUGUCUAGAUGAAAGGCUUCUGCCUGGAUGGGGAAUUGCCCCGGUGUUCAACCAGAGCAUCAAUUCUCUUUCUCCUUUCAGGAUGUGAAAAGCACAUCGAGCAGGAGUGAAAACACGAAACUCCAGGAACCCGAAGCCGUUUCUUUCAACCUGCAGCAUGUGUAUAAAAUGUGUCUUGAUUUGAGGGAAGCUCUGAACAGAUUUGCAGGUGCAUGGGACGUGCUGGCGGCUGUGUAGCUGUACCUGCUGUGUCUGCAGAGCCGGGUGUGAGAGUCUCCAGCACAUCUGCGUCAGGGCUGGGCAAGAGGAGCCGGGGCGAAGCUGGGGCAGUCGCCAGCUGCAGACACCUGCCCCCAUGGGGCUCUGGGAGGGGCUCUGUGGCUGUGCCUGUGCUGGGAGAUGCCGGGGCAGCGGCAGAGGGUCUGUGCUGCUCGCAGGGCCCAGGGGACACGUCGCUCUGGGCAGAGAGUUCAGGCUGGAGCCGAGUCUCCACUGGCAGCUGGGUCUGUGGGCUGAGAUCAGGGCUGGGGGGAUUUUCCUGGCCAGGGCACAUUUCACAGCCACUCUGGAGUGUCCAGCUGAUGCCCUGAGCCCGGCCUGCCUGGCACUGCGCUGGGGGAUCCCCUCAAUUGGGCAGGCUAAGUACAGCUCUGUUGCCUGUUACUCAAACACUAAAAGGGUCCUAAAAUGUCACCUCUUUGCUUCCCGGCAUCAGCUGUCCCCUCCCUUCCUCCACCUCUCCUCCACUCUGCUCCUUGCUACCUACCCUGUCUUCUCCUGCCCUGGCCCCCUCUGCACAGGACCCUUCCCUGUCCCCCUCCUUCCCACCCACAGGUGCCUGCCCCUUCCUUGCACCCUUCCCCUGCCACCUUCCCCUUAGUGCUCUCCUGCCUCUCUGGCUCCCUGACAUCUGCACCCCUCACUCCCUUCUAGUCCCUUAGUGUGAGCCCCCUGCCUCUCUGGCUCUUACCCCUUCCUUUGCCCUUCUGUCUGCCUGGUAUCCCUUCCCUGGCCCCUGCAUCGGGCCCUGUGGUGUAGGCCCUGUGACGGCGCGUUGGGGGUCCCCCGUCUCCUGCACCCCGAAAUGGCACAAACAGACUGC